AGGUACCCCCAGGUGUGCCCAGGUGUGCCCAGGUGUAUCCCAGGUACCCCUAGAUAACCUCAGGUGUGUCCUGAACACCCCCAGGUACAUCCAGGUGUGCCCAGGUGUCCCUCAGGUACCCUCAGACACUCCCAGGUAUCCCUUAAGUACACCCAGGUGUGCCCAGGUACCCCCAGGCGUAUCCUAGAUACCCCCAGGUGUUCCCAGGUGUCCCCCAGAUAACCUCAGGUGUGUCCUGGACACUCCCAGGUACCCCCAGGUGUCCUUUAAGUACCCCCAGGUGUAUCCAAGACACCCCCAGGUGUGCCCAGGUAAUCCCAGACACUCCCAAGUGUCCCUCAGGUGUGCCCAGGUGUAUCUCAGGUGUCCCUAGGUGUAUCCAAGACACCGCCCAGAUGUCCCCAGGUGUAUCUGAAGUACCCCCAGGUGUAUCCCAGGUACCCCCAGGUGUACCCAAGUGACCCUUAAGUACCCCCAGGUGUAUCCUAGGUACUCCCAGGUGUGCCCAGGUGUAUCUCAGGUGUGCCCAGGUGCAUCCAAGACACCCCCAGGUACCCCCCAGGUAUCCUUUAAGUACCCCCAGGUACCCCCAGACACCCCCAGGUGUAUC